rnacentral:rRNA from 1 species
UACGUAGGGUGCAAGCGUUAAUCGGAAUUACUGGGCGUAAAGCGUGCGCAGGCGGAUUUGUAAGUCUGUCGUGAAAGCCCCGGGCUCAACCUGGGAAUUGCGAUGGAGACUGCAAGGCUAGAAUCUGGCAGAGGGGGGUAGAAUUCCACGUGUAGCAGUGAAAUGCGUAGAGAUGUGGAGGAACACCGAUGGCGAAGGCAGCCCCCUGGGUCAAGAUUGACGCUCAUGCACGAAAGCGUGGGGAGCGAACAGG